ensembl:lncRNA
UAACCACACAGUUUACGUCGCUGGAACCUUGAGAACCAACAGACUAGCUGGAACUGGUUCCUUUCUUUGACGUCUUAUUGUCGGGGCAGAUUUGAUUUCUCUUCCAGGUGUAGGCUUAGCCCCUAGCUCUGUGUCCUAUCCUUAUGACAGUAUACUACAGCCAUAAGAGGUUAGAGUUCAUAUUUAACUGACCUGUGGCUUUUUUUGUAAAGUGUACAUGAGUUUAACUUGCCUGGGGUACUGAACCAAAGUCGUUAGAUCAAUCCUCUUUACAUUGUGUGCUGGAUAUACAUUUUAAUUUGUGUACAGUAUAACUGUAAGUCACCGUGGCGCACAUACAUACAAUGGCUUUAGUUUGAGAUGUGUUACUUUUAUAUCACACAAGGGAGUCUGUGCCCAGGAAUAAUAGAACAGAGAAGUAUCAGCACAAGGAUCCAAUUAGGGGUAAUGGAAAAAGCAAAAAUACAAGAAAGUGACUGUCAAAAACAUUUAUGUGGUGAGUUCAUUUGACACAUCAAUAGUCCAGAGUUCGAGAAAAAAUAGGAAUCUGAGGUUAAACGCUAAGCCAGUAGAAAGGCCUGAUGGGAAGUGGUGGUUGCUAUGGCGGCAAUUUUCAGAAGGCCACCGAGAGAGAGCCUGGUUGUUUGCAGUAGGGAAGCAGAGUAUUGAGGACUGUUGAGAGGGGUUGCUCGGUAGGAGUAAGACCUGGGUUCAAAUACUAUUUGAAAUCUUUUAAAUAAUUCUAACGUUUGCUUUAGAAUGCCUGCAGGGCCAGAUGGGCGGCAUUUGCAGUUUUUCAACUAUUGCAUUGCGCCAGGCAAACUCAAUCAAGCCCAGCUAAAGUAUUUGAAAUAGUAUUUCAACCCAGGUCUGGCAAGAGUGAGUGAGUGAGUGAGUGAGUGAGUGAGUGAGUGAGUGAGUGAGUGAGUGAGUGAGUGAGUGAGUGAGUGAGUGAGUGAGUGAUAGAAAGCAUUUGGUUGGUCUGGGUAGGAACUGAGGAUGGCAGAGUGGUAGUGUGGCAUUCCUCAUGUAAAUGGGACUAAAAGAAUAGCAUGUUGGCAUGGAGCAGGUUGGUAGUAACAGUGACGGUGGGCAGGAGUUACAGGAGCACUGCAUGAAUGCACACCUAACUCUGAUACAAGUUGUUGUAUUGUUGUAGUGGUUUUGUAUAGAUAAAUGGAAGUUAUUUAGUCAUUUCUGCCCUGAGGGUUGUGUAGCACCUCUCCACAUAGAGAGAGAUGUGAACGGAACAGAAAUGCUACUGCGUACACCUGGAAGGGCUUACUAUGAAAUGGUCUUCAUUUGUUGACACUGUAUCCAUUUUGUCUUCGGAAUCAUGUGUUCACAGAUAGCAUACCACCAGAAAGGGAUACCUAAUAGUAAGAGAACUGAUUGGGCUAUUGCUUCUAUGUGUUUGCUGCUUAAUUUAAUAUCAGUUGUAUUUCUCGUAGCCAAUGAUAUAUGAUUACUAUGUUUGUUGUAGUGUCCUCAUGAAGUAGGCACAUCAUAAAUACUUGUGGUUUUAGUGAGAGCCUUCCCCCUUAUCCCUUCAUGUCAUGCCAUAGUACUUGCAUUUUAAGUGAUUAUUUUAUUUCUACGUUAUUAUUGAACUUUUUAAUUGUAUGUAGGUACAGUAUAAACUGUAUUGUGUUAUUUUACAGAUUGUUGCAAUAAUUAUUGUGGAUGUUUUUAUCAGUGAUUUGUUAUUAGGCUCAUUUCUAAGUUGAUUUGUAACUGGGAGUUGCUGUACAGCGAUGUUAUGUAUUCAUAAGGAGGGGUGUAUGCCUGUGUAAAGUGUUCAGGCACCGUUGACAAUAAUAAAGUUAUAAAGUAGACAAUAAUCCAUUUGGGCCCUUAUGGGUAGGUAGCUUAGACUUGAGUGUGUCAGACCAAGGUUUGCUCCCUAAACUAAACCUAAAACAACAACAUUUUGGUACUUCACCAAUAGGCCACCACACUCCCUCUAGCUGGCUCCACCAUGCAAGCCUUGGGUUCCAGGCAGUCAAAGAUGUGAUGCGUAGCAUGUAUAGGUUGCUGGUUACAUCAUUUUCUUUCUGUUCUGUGGUGUAUCUUUGUUGGUACUUUUUUGUUGAUUUCCAUAAGGCCUGUGGGCCUAAGAACACAGAUACGGGAGCUGCUUUUCCACAUGAGUGGUUGGCCCCUCCAUAAAGAGGCAGACUACUGAAACAUUCCACCAUAGGGAGAAUCUGGCAUCCAUACUGCACACCCUACAGUCUCCAUAGCUCUCUGAUCUGAUGAUCUGAUGACAUUUUUGGACCUUUCUUUCUUUCUUUCUUCCCACCAAAGAAAUUCAACAUGUUGACGAUGUACAGUACAAACACAAAUAAUCCCCAUGUGGUCUGGCAAUAACUUCUGGUCCAAACAAGUACCUUUACAGCACAUUGAGUGUGCUUUGAGGGCUAUUGAUGGGUUUUAAGCAAAUGUUAGUGUGUGAAGUGUACAGAUACUACAGUAGAACGCCAGUAUGGGCACAACACACACAUACAUGAAUGAUUCAAGUUGCCAUAAUAUCUUAAGCUAUUUGACUGCCAAUUGCAGUCCACCAUUCUCAAACAUCUAUGAUUUGAAGAAAAUAUGUUUUAGAUCUGUCACUCGUU